rnacentral:rRNA from 2 species
GACGAGGGAUCCUAGCGUUGUUCGGAAUCAUUGGGCGUAAAGGGUGCGUAGGUGGCCAUGUAAGUCAGUUGUGAAAUCCCCGGGCUCAACCCGGGAAGUGCUUCUGAUACUGCUUGGCUUGAAUAUUGGAGAGGUGAGUGGAAUUCCAGGUGUAGUGGUGAAAUACGUAGAUAUCUGGAGGAACACCGGCGGCGAAGGCGGCUCACUGGCCAUAUAUUGACACUGAAGCACGAAAGCGUGGGGAGCAAACAGG